CUAUGUACCUAUGUAACUGAACUUCCAGUUCAUAGUAGAAAUGGUGAACACUAACUACUUAUAUAUAAUAAUAUAUCAACGUUCCCGAAAGCCUGCUAAACAACUUUCCAACUCCAUGCAAGAAACCAUUUUCAUGCUUUAUUCUGCUUACAAAUCCAUCGUUACCAACUAUAUACUCCGUAUACCUUCGUGCGCAAACAAUUCGAUCUGCCAUAUAAUAGUACAAAAAGAUAUGAUACCUUGCCUCUAUCCUAGCAGCCCCCCGGGGAUCGAUGAGUGAGCUUAAUAACAGCGUGAUUAGUCUGCGCAAGCUUAAUUGCUCCAACUCACCGGAUCUACGUAAUACUUCCUCCAUUUUCAUAUGAUAGUUUUAUUUAAAAUCUGAAGAUUUUCAUAUGAUAGUUUUAUCUAAAAUUUGAAAAUUUAAAGAUUGAUAGUCUUAUUUGAGCUCACUCAUCAAUUGCCUCUAGGGCCCAACACCCAUUAACUGCGUCGGAGUAAAUUAUUGAUGCCUCGGGAAACGACACAAUGUUUCGACUUCGCGUGCCUGUGGAUAAAAACCGGCUGCAUGCAGGAGGGGUGUUAAAUACUGUUUGUUUAGGUAAAUAAUGAUGGGAUAAGUAGGAUUGAUAAGCAAUGUUUUUUUUCCUUGAUCAUUGUACCCAUUCUAAAUAAGACUAUCAUCUAUGAAUUAUGAAUGGAGGGAGUAUGUUUCGUAUCAGAGCAUCUCCAAGAGUUUGCUAAAUGAAGUUGGCAUCCUAGAAAAUUUGGCAAAACAAGAAAAUUUCGUCUCCAAUAGUUUGGGAAACAAGGUUGGCAUUUUUAGCAACUUGGCAUUCCUCCCGUCCGCACACGCAUACGCGCGCGUAUCUGGCUGCGCAUCGCGGUCUCACGCACCGGCGCUGGACUUCCCGCGCGGUCGAGGAAAUUUCCUCGCCUCUUUCCCGCGCCAAGCCCGUGUCCCUUGUCCCGCCGCCUCCUUCUUGGUCGCGAUUUUUUCCCGUGGCUGUCUCCUCCUUCAGUUCCCUCGCCAAGGCCGCCUCCUCCCCAGCAGAUCCCGACGCCUGCGGCUCUCAAACUCAUUAAGAUGGAAGGAGAUGGAUUCUUGUCAGACAUUCUACUCGAUGCAGAUGAUUCUGAUGUUGCUGGUUUGGAAGAACUCAACACUCCGAACACACAAGACACUUGAGUGCUCCUGUAGUUGAACCAAGUCGCAGUACAAAGGGAUCGAAGAGGACCAAAAAUUUUCAUUGGGAGGAAGACGAAGUUAUAUGCUCGGGCUGGUUCUACAUUAGCAAAGAUCCCAUUAACGGGGCCAAUCAAACUCGUUCCACAUUUUGGAGUAGAGUACAUGCUUUCUUUGAGAAGGAUAAUAAAACCACAGCUGUGAGGUCAGAGAGUUCCAUUAUGCAUAGGUGGCUAAUAAUUCAGGCUCAAGUUAACAAGUUCUAUUAAUGCAAUGCUGCGAUUGAGCGUAGGAAUAAAAGUGGAACAACAAUCCAAGACAAGAAACCUCCAAGAUGUACAUGGAACUAGAUAAGGACAAAAAGUCAUUUACUCUUAUACCUUGUUGGAACAUAUUGAAAGAAGAAGACAAGUGGAAAGACAAGAUGAUAGAACUUGCCGAGCUGGAGAAGCAAGCAGACAAGAAAAAAAACAAGUUCACCAAGGUGUCCAGGCCAAGGGAUGAAGCCACCAACAAUGAAGCUAUCACAGAUGCUGUUGCUCAGUCAACCGAAGAAAGGAAAAGGCCACAAGGGAUAAAGAAAGCAAAAGAAGGUCUCAGGCGAGGAGGUGGCGAAGCUUGCAUGGAGGCAUUGGACAAGAUGUGGGCGAAGAAGGAGGCCUUCGACAAGGAAAAAGAAAAGGCGAAAGAGGAGAGGUUUAUGGCUUCGCUUGAGGUAGACAAGGCUGCACUAGAGCUAGAGAAGAAGCGAGUGUCAAAUGAAGAAAAAAAGCUGAAGCGGAAUUGCUCAAGGAGGAAAAAGAGAUAAUGUUAGUGGACAAGAGGUCUCUCAACCCGCUGCAGCUGCAGUACAUUGAGAUGAUGCAGCUGAAGAUCAUUGCUCGACGCAAGGAAAAUUAGUUUUAGUGUCAGCUAGAGAACUUUUUCAUUGUCACCUUCAGGUUCACUAUCAUGACCUGAAAACGGUACUUCCUGCGCAACAACAGGUUACAGGCUGCAAAAUAUGCUAGCAAGGACAGCAUCAAGUGCACAGCAAAUUCAAAUAAUAUAUAUCAAUAUGAAAUAAACAAUGCACCGAUUGGAGAGGUUUAUUUGCAAUGUUCCAA